CAAUUACUUAAAUAAAUAAAUAAAAUAAAUAAAUAAAAUAAAUAAAUAAAAAGAGGGUAGAUUCAGAGGAUCGGAUUUUUUUUCCCAUAGCAUUAAAUGCUCCAUUAAUUGGAUGGCAAAAGAAAUCAAAUGAAAUCUAAUAGUAGAUUUGAGUGGAUUUGGACGGAGGAGAUUUAUCUUCCCAUCCAAUCAUAAUCUUGGGAGGAUAUCAUUUAAUGUAAAAAUAUAGAAGAUCACGGCCUCAAAUUCUCAAUCAAAUUGCAAGAGGCUUCUUGGCCAUUGAAUCAACCCAAGGAAACACCCAAAUAUAUGCAUUGAGAGAUUAGAAGAUCAAAAUUAAAUAUUGAUAAAGAUUUGAGCAUUUAAGAGUCCUCCCACUUGUAUAGCAAGUUGACCGAAUCCAACAAGUAUACAAAUAAUACACCCCCAACGUUUCCAAAUACAGCCACCCAUCAUAAUCAAACAUCCCAAAAAUACUACAUAGAAUAGAGGAGUACGAGGAUGAAGAGUUGCUAAUAAUUGUAGGAUCAAGUCCAGGAUCCAAUGACACUUUUGUUUCCACAUCAAAAGGCUAUCUCCAUGAGUUAAGGGUGGAGUCAGGAAAAUUCAAGUUAAAGAAACUAAACGAACAAGAGCUUCUGGGACUAUGCGAUGGCGUUAGGCCCUGAGGACGAUGAGAUCCGGAGUGUGGCUUCGACGAUGAGGCUGCAAUCUGAGGGAGAUGAUUCUCACAUGUCGGAGCUCAUGACGGCUAUCCUUCAGAGAGUAGGAGCUGAGAUUAAUCGCAACAACCUUCCACAGAUUCUGUGAUUGUGUAGGUUUUGGGAGUUCUGGCGGCAGCGUAAAUGGCGGUGGUGGCGGCGAAGGAAGAGUUGCAGCAGCAAUUCACCGCCAUUUUGUGUGAUAUUAAUUGAUUUUGGAGAAGAGGGAAGUGGAGAAGAGAAGAAGAGGAGAAGAUGCACGCGGUUUCUUUCAAAUGAAUUGAAUUUGCAAUGAUGUAACCUAAUUUUGGUUGUCAAUGACCAUUAUACCCCCGCUUAGUUAUUGUGGAGUAAAUUUGUGAGAGAGGGAACUCAUUUCUCCUUUAAAUUCUAA